rnacentral:misc_RNA from 1 species
GAUGAAGAACGUAGCGAAAUGCGAUAAGUAAUGUGAAUUGCAGAAUUCAGUGAAUCAUCGAAUCUUUGAACGCACAUUGCGCCCAUUAGUAUUCUAGUGGGCAUGCCUGUUCGAGCGUCAUUAAGUCCAUUAAGCCUAGUUGCUUAGCGUUGGGAGCAUUACCGCAUGGUAACUCCUUAAAGUCAGUGGCAGGGUUACGGUACACUCUAAGCGUAGUAGAUUUCUUUUCUCGCUUUUGCUGUGGCCGCGGCCGUUGCCAUAAACCUAUAAUUUUUUAUUGGUUGACCUCGGAUCAGGUAGGAAUACCCGCUGAACUUAAGCAUAUCAAUAAGCGGAGGA